rnacentral:lncRNA from 1 species
CGGGGGAUUUUAAUUUGAUUCUCCAUGUCCCAAUUUUUCAACACUAGUCAACAUUAGUAUAAGUUAUGAGAAUUUUAGAAUAUAUCAUUUUAUUUAUCUUACAAGAAUUCACGUGUAAUAAUUUUAUUUUCACUAUUAUAAACUAUUUUGAAGUUGACAAAAAAAAAACUAUUUUGAAAAAUGAUUGUGCUGAAUAUUUAGAUUAAAAAAGUUCUUUGUUACUCUAAUAAAUUAUUUUCUAAAAUUUAAGAUUUGAUCAUUUGAACUUUAUGAUGCAAUGCCAAAAACAUUAAUUUGUUUCUCCCUCCUCCAAAUUUGCAGCCUUUUCAGUUUUACCUCCAAAAUAAUCAAAUAACUUUUUAUUACAAUUUGCCAACUAGCUAUCAAACAAAUAAAGUUCAAUCAUUUGAGAUGAUUUUUUCGGCUCGUAGAGUUGGGACUCCAGUAUAAAAAUUCCAUCCGCUUUCCUAAUUAAUAUAUUAGACGGAUUUGUCAGGACAAUUAUCAAAAAGAAUUACAUGGACAAAUCUCCAAAAUAGCACUUUUCUAAGUUUAUAUCACAAAAAAAGCACCCAAAAACAAAAAUGACCAAAAUAGCACAUUUCUAAGUUUAUCCUUUGAAAAUUUUAAUUUUUUUAUUUUUCAAAAUUUGAAAUCUUAUCCCCAAAACCUCAUUUCUCAACUCUAAACCCUAAACCCUAAACUCUAAACUCUAAACCUUAAACUCCAGACUCUAAACCCUAAACCAUAAACCCUAAACCCUAAACUCUAAACCUUAAACCCUAAACUCUAAACCCUAAACCCUAAACCCUAAACCCUAAAAUCUAAACCCUAAACCCCAAACUCUAAACCCUAAACCCUAAAUCCUAAACUCCACCCUUUAACUC